GUUAGAGGUUCAGCAAGGAGGCCAGUGGGUGUGGAAUGGAAGCAGGAAGGACAAGGGGUACAAGGUUAUAGCAGUAACGAGGGGCCAGUUAAUGCAGGGCCUUGUAAAUCAUUGUGAUAAAUUUGGCCUUUACUUCAAGUGAGAUGAGAAGUCAGUGCAGAAGUUUGAGCAGAGGAGCACCAAGAUCUAACAUGUUUUGACAGGACCAUUUGAGCGGCUGUGUUGAGAGGAGACUCAAGAAAGGGCAAUUCUGAGGAUCCAGUUGGAUAGAACACGUCUUCAGGCUUAGCUUGGAAACUGGGUGUGUCUAAUAUUCUACAGAUACACUUGUAAUAAAUUAAUGGUGGCUUCCGUGAAGCAGGUCCCCACAGCCUACUCCACAAAGCUACAGAGAACAGAGUUGCAGUUAAUGCAAACUGUGAAGGAUUCCAUCCAAAAAGGCCUCCCAUCCAUCUGGAGCUAAUGAUGUUUCCAGCACUCAGCGAGGCUCCUGGGAACCAAACAACCCUGUUGUCAGCCUACCUGGUCUAGCAUUUCCAGGAGCAGCUGGCUUGUUCCAGAGAGGUCUAAGUCCUCCAAUCCAUCAGAGACGCCCCGGUCCGGUUCUGUGGAAAUUUCUAGGCUAGUUAUUUCCUCCAUGACUCAUCCAUGUGUUUCAUCCAAACUUAAAAAUGCUCCUCCUGUCACCAUCCUCUCCAAAGUCCCAACCCCUGUGGCUCUGUGCUUUCUUCUCCCUGAACAGACGUAAUUUCCACCGUAUUUCUUAGAACCUAUACUUAAUUGCACACAACAUCACAUACACCCUUAGCCUAGUCACAGAUCCUUCACCCAUUUUCUGGCUCUCACUGAAACCUUCUCUCUCAAGUGGACACUCUCAUUUGGGUUGGAGUCCUUGCUCCCAAUGUAACUUGUAGAUCUUUACUCCUUCGCAGUUCUCCUCGCUCAUUCCCCUCUUUCAGGGAGCCCCUGGGCUCACUGUCAAUCCUUUCAUCUCAGGUGUAUAAAUCCACCCUUCAUCUUAGGCUCUUAACUCCUUUUCUUCCUCAACAGACCAGGAACCUGGUAGCACCUACCAUCCAAAUAUACCCCAAAGCUCACCACUUCUUUCUGCCUCCACUGCCUCCACCUAGGCUGUAUUACAGGCCACCACAGUCUUUUACCUGUGCUGCUGUAACCUCGUAAAUCAGCUUUCUGAUUCUCCUUUUGCCCCCAUAGUCAGUUUUCCAUUCAGCUGCCGGAGGAAUUUCCCUAAAAUGUAUCAUGUCAUGUCAUGCCUCUGCUCAGAACCCUUUAGGGGCUUUCCAUCCCACUGAGACUGAAAUCCAAAGCCCUCUGGGGUCAACCCCUGCCCAUCUCUCUGCCUCAACUCCUAUCACAUCCCUCUUGUUCAGGCCGCCCCCGCCAUACUGGAAUCCUUCGGCUCCACCAAGCUCACUCUCUCCUCACAGUCUCUUCCUGGAGAGCUCCUUUUGUGGACAUCCACAUGGCUUUCUCUUCACUCCAUUCAGCUCCCUGCUUGAAUGGAAUGCCCCGGAGAGCCCUCCCUGAUCACUUUAUCCAGAAUAGUCCCUUCCUCUCCUUGCCCCCAAUAUCACUCUCAACUUGAAGCUGUGCACACCUUAAAACCACAGUUAUAAUGUCCAGGUGUGUUUGUUUAGGCCUCUUUCCUCCACUAGAACCCAAGUGCCUUGAAAGAAGACGGCAUUUGCCUGUCUUGCUCACCUCUGUCCCUUCAGGACCUAGAGCCACGUGUGGCACAUCAUCUGUGCUAAAUAAAUAAGUAUGGAAUGAAUGAAGAAAUGACUUCUUUAGUCACCAUGUCUUAAGGUCAUAAAACAAGUUUUGUG
ensembl:lncRNA